CGUAGCCAACGCGUUAAGUGUUCCGCCUGGGGAGUACGCACGCAAGUGUGAAACUCAAAGGAAUUGACGGGGGCCCGCACAAGCGGUGGAGUAUGUGGUUUAAUUCGAUGCAACGCGAAGAACCUUACCAGGGUUUGACAUCCUGCGAAUUUCUGGGAAACCGGAAAGUGCCUUCGGGAGCGCAGUGACAGGUGGUGCAUGGCUGUCGUCAGCUCGUGUCGUGAGAUGUUGGGUUAAGUCCCGCAACGAGCGCAACCCACGUCUUUAGUUGCCAGCAUUUAGUUGGGCACUCUAGAGAGACCGCCGGUGAUAAACCGGAGGAAGGUGUGGAUGACGUCAAGUCAUCAUGCCCCUUACAUCCUGGGCUACACACGUACUACAAUGCUACGGACAAAGGGCAGCAAACUCGCGAGAGCUAGCAAAUCCCAUAAACCGUGGCUCAGUUCAGAUCGUAGGCUGCAACUCGCCUACGUGAAGGAGGAAUCGCUAGUAAUCGCAGGUCAGCAUACUGCGGUGAAUACGUUCCCGGGCCUUGUACACACCGCCCGUCACACCAUGGAAGUUGGCCACGCCCGAAGCCGUUACUCCAACCCUUGUGGAGGAGGACGUCGAAGGUGGGGCUGAUGACUGGGGUGAAGUCGUAACAAGGUAGCCGUACCGGAAGGUGCGGCUGGAUCACCUCCUAA
rnacentral:rRNA from 1 species